rnacentral:rRNA from 1 species
UAUUUUAUGUGCACCGCAGAUAACUACGUUAAAGUGUAGAUAACAUGUGUACAGUAAGAGUGAGACCUAUCAGCUAGUUGUUAAGGUAAUGGCUUAACAAGGCAGUGACGGGUAACGGUAUUACUUUGUAAUAUUCCGGAGAAGGAGCCUGAGAGACGGCUACUAAGUCUAAGGAUUGCAGCAGGGGCGAAACUUGACCUAUGGAUUUUA